GUCGGUGCCGGUGCCGGUGCCGGGGCCAUGCGCGACGGGAACCGGCCGGAGGGCCACGGCGGCGAUGGGGCCGCGGCUGCUGCUCGCCGCGGGGCUGCUGCUCGCCGCAGGUGACAGCUUGCAGCAGCAGCAGCAGCACAGUGAGGAAUUGGGACACUCCUGGUCUGUGACCCCGUGGGUCCUGGGGGAUAACCGGACACUCAGCUUGGCCGAAGCCACCCAGGGGGGGUUCCCCGCCCGUCUGACAGUGCUGCUGGAGCUGGAGGGGAUGCGG